rnacentral:rRNA from 1 species
GUGGGGAAUAUUGCACAAUGGGGGAAACCCUGAUGCAGCAACGCCGCGUGAAGGAAGAAGUAUUUCGGUAUGUAAACUUCUAUCAGCAGGGAAGAAAAUGACGGUACCUGACUAAGAAGCCCCGGCUAACUACGUGCCAGCAGCCGCGGUAAUACGUAGGGGGCAAGCGUUAUCCGGAUUUACUGGGUGUAAUGGGAGCGUAGGUGGUAUGGCAAGUCAGAUGUGAAAGCCCGGGGCUCAACCCCGGGACUGCAGUUGAAACUGUCAGACUAGAGUGCAGGAGAGGUAAGUGGAAAUCCUAGUGUAGCGGUGAAAUGCGUAGAUAUUAGGAGGAACACCAGUGGCGAAGGCGGCUUACUGGACUGUAACUGACACUGAGGCUCGAAAGCGUGGGGAGCAAACAGGAUUAGAAACCCUGGUAGUCC